rnacentral:tRNA from 1 species
AUUUAAAUAGUUUAAUUAAAAAUAUUAAUUUGUGGGAUUAAUGAUAUGAAAUUCAUUUUAAAUA